GACGAACGCUGGCGGCGUGCUUAACACAUGCAAGUCGAACGAAGUGGCGAACGGGGGAGUAAGACGUAGGUAACCUUCCCUCCUUUUUGGGAUAAGCCUUGGAAACGGGGUCUAAUACCGAAUAAAGGGGGAUGGGCUCGGGGCCUAUCAGGUUGUUGGGGGGGUGAGGGACUACCACGGGGGUGAGGGGUCGCCGGCCUGAGAGGGUGAACGGCCACAAUGGGACUGAGAUACGGACCAGACUCCUACGGGAGGCAGCAGUGGGGGAUAUUGCACAAUGGCCGAAAGCGUGAUGCAGCGAUGCCGGGUGGGGGAAGAAGGCUUUCGGGUUGUAAACAGCUUUCAGACAUGACGCGGUAGCUGCAGAAGAAGCACCGGCUAACUACGUGCCAGCAGCCGCGGUAAUUC
rnacentral:rRNA from 1 species